UUUUUCAGCCUAUGCAUGUUUCAAUAAGAGUAAUCUCCCCUCAUGGGAUUAAUAAAGUUUGUCAAAUUUAAAAGAAGAAGUUUCUAGUAGUUGUCUUUUGUCAGCUUAAGUGUUUUUUCUUUUCUCUUACAGACUGUUUGCCUCAAACCAAACUCUGUCUGAACAGUCUGUCCACAUCCUUUUAGAGAGAGGUCUGACUGCAGUCCAAGGAGGGUUCCUGUUCUCCAGAGACGUGCGGCACGGCUAUACAAACGUAGUGCAUCCCACUUUGGAGCAGAGUUUGCAGAUGCAGUCGCGGAUAAAGGCCUCGGUUCUCGUAGUUUUAGCAGAUAAAGGUUUGCCCACUUUUCAUGAUUCAAAGCAGCAGGAAAAAAUCUCCAUCCUUCUCCAGAGAUAUCGUGACAGAAAUCACUCAGUGGUAACAGUUCCAGGAGAUCAUCACGUCCAUCUGAAUAAUCCUGAAGUUGUCGCACCGCUUAUUUCCGACUUUCUGCAGACUGAAGUGAUCCCUCAGCAUCUGUCAGAAGUGUGACACACACACACACACACACACACACACACACACUAACACACACAUACACACACAGGCACACACACUAACUCACACACACACUAAAUAACACUCUUUAAGUCUUGUCAAAUUGUCCUCCUCCCUCUCAGUGCAUUUAUGCAAACUGAUGAAUUACUUUUUGAAGAAAUCUGAGAAUUCUCUUCAGUGCCUUUGAGUAGUCACACCUUAAUGUUCAAACAGCAACACUAUUCAUUUUAUGUGUGUGUUUUCUUCAUUCAGCCAUGGUUUCAGAAGUCCUCAUUGCUACUAUCAGAGUGUUUUUGUAUUCGAGGCUGAUCUGUUUGACUCGGCUGCUUUUUAUGAAUCUGAUUCUAAAAUUGUCAAUCGUUAAAAAAAGAUCACCCUCUGACAACUUCUCAGUAUGUUGGACCGUCCUCUUUGUGUUCACCCUGUUUUCUUACUCUAAGAACCAGGACGAUUAAAAGUAUUCUUUUUUUUACCACCCUUUAACUGAUGGGACUGACUCCAUAAAGACUGAAGCCGCCACAACUCACAGCAGAUAUGAGAGGUGCCACUCACACAAAAAUACCCUCUCGUUCUCUCCCAUUCUCUCUCUCAAUGUCACAUAAACGGUGUGACGGCCUCGGUGUUAAAUGGAGUGGAAUUGAUUUUACGCAGCGAGCAGAAAGGCGGCAAGCAUCCAGAGACAUCUGAAGGGCUUGCCCCCCCUCCUACUCCUCCAAAAAAGAAAAAAGAUUAUAGUUAUAUAAGUUUCCCUCCCUCCCACUCCCUCCAUCCUCUCAGCCAGCAGCAGGGAUGUUGCCAUAGUAACCCCCCACCCCUCGGUUUUUUAAACGUCAGAGCGAGGAGCUGGAGGAUGAAGCCGCAUGCAGCUUCUGUCUCUCGUGCCUCUCAGAGAGCACCUGUGAUUUUGGACGUCUCGCGUUCAACAGUCGGAGCCACGGCGCUGUGGGAAAUCUGAUGAUUGAUUCGAGUCUCGGGCUGCUGCACAUCACGUACCAUCAAACACAGAAAGACUUACUGAUUCUGCAGCACUGAAAGCAGCGAUGUCGUGGCUGUUCCUGGACUGGUUCGUCCCCCUCUACCUGCUGGUGUCGGUGUUGGUUCUGGCUGGAUUCGGAGCGUGUCUGUACUUCUUGGAGCCUGGGCUGCAGGAAGCCCACAAGUGGAGCAACAAAACAGUCCGGCAUCACCCGCUGGUGGCCAGCGUGAACUGCAGAGAUGACGAUAGCAACGCUCUGAUAUGAUCAAGAAGGGCGAGGUGGAGCGGGGCGCGCCAUCUGGGCAGGGGUGCUGCCAGGACACCAGAGGGGAGAGGACGGGAGCCAACACCUUCAAGAUGGAGACAGGAAAUGGCAGAGGAAGAUGGAGGGGAGAGAAAUCUGAUAAAUGGAGCCCAUCAGUCUCAUCAUAACUUUUCUCUGAUCUCUAUCACACUUUCCGCUGUAGGGAUCAGGGGAAAGUGGUGUAGAAGAAUGUCUACAAAGAAGCCAAACGCACAGGGAGGAGAAGAGUACUCACACAGAUGAUGGAGGACAUGUUGCCCUUUAGAAAGCGUCUAAAACAUGAUGUAAAUUUCACCACCAUCUUAUACUCGUGCCAACUUUUACAUACGUUUUUGUAAAUCGACAAUCACUUUCCAUGUAUCAUGCAGUUUACUCAUAGUGUGCGUUUCUUUAGUGCAGUGGGUGACAUCAGUGCAAUGUGUUUGCUGUCAUCAGGAAGUGUUUUUUUAAUCCUCCUUCUGUCGGCUCGGCAGCUGCAGAGAAGCAUGUGGACUGUUUGUGCCAAUGUGCCAAAAAAAAAGGGUUUAGUAAUGACUUUAUAAAAAAAAAACAUGUACUGAAUAAAUUCAAGUGAUUCAUUCAAGGUGCCAAGGUAAACUAGAUGGACCUAGAAAACAGAAAAGUAUUUGGAAAACGCUUACAGUGUAUAUAUUUUGAGUUUUCAUCGUUUUUACUUGACAGCAUGGGGAAGAAACUGGGUGCGUGACGACCCUCUUUUGAUGAUCAUAUGCUUCCUUAGUUCAUACAAAUAAAAAUGUUUACCCGUCAA